GUCAAGUCUCUGGGUGUAAUCCUAAUGCAGUUAGUGGAUGACAAUUCCAGUUUCUCCAAAGAAUGCUAUGAUUUCAUGGAUCAGUGCCUUGGUCCACCAGGGAAGACACCAACGUUGGAAGAGCUUUUACAACAUAAAUGGUUUAAGCAGGAAAAAUGGUGUAGAAAAUUGUUCAGGAGCAGGUGAUCCAAAUCUCCAGUGAGGAAGAGCACAAUACAAGCCAUUCAUCAGACAGUCUGAAGUGGAGAUGUGGCG